rnacentral:lncRNA from 1 species
AUUUGAGUAAAGAGAGCACUAUAAAAUCAAAAACCAAUGAAAUGGUUUCCAGAACACAGAACUAUUAAGCUUAAGAAAAGGACAGAAGGAACUGAAGAGAGAGGAACUGUUUUGGAGCAUCACACUUCCACCUCAGAAGAAAUAAGGAAGGAAGGAGGAGGGUGUUCCCACGGCUCUUCAACCAGGCCGGCUCUUCAGCCUACAUCCCCAUCUCAUCAAGUAAAAGGGAUUUUUCAACUGGACCAACCAGAUGGUUUAACAGUGCACUCCCACACCAUUCAACUACGCAAGGGAGAUACACUUAACAUAUGCAGUCGUAUAACACCUACUAACAUUUUCAAACAUUAAACCUUUAAAAAAGAGUUCUAAAGAAAUAGAAGCUUGAAGUAUCAUCUCUCAAGUAUAUAGACACUACUUCAUGGUGUGGUAAUAUAUGCAUAUAGAAGCUAGUAAACACCUCCAGGAGAUGCAAAAGGAAUUAGAACUGCCACAAGGUGCAAGCAAAACCUUGAGGGAGCACUACAAUUAUGAAAUAUAUUCUUUUCUGCUAUGGGAAAAUCAACACAAUUUGGAAGCAGUCCUGCCUGGAAUUUUGGGAAAUUGAUUCUUCCUCCUUGCCACUUUUCCAUCAAUCAACCUGCAGUCAAUGGAUAACUCCACUCUACUAUGUCUUCUAUCUCCUUUGUGGUACAUCUGAAAGUUGCUGAAUUGGAUCAGGUCAUUGCUUUGACAAUGUUUGUCACAAGGAUCUGUUGUAAACUCUCCCAAGAAAUCUUCCUCUGUGUAUUUGUCUUCUCAAGUCAUUAUGUUGUACCACCAAGUAAAUUAGACAUUAUGCAAAAGUACAUUCGUUUAUGAAAUAUACAGCAGAUAUUCAAAGAUAUCGUUUCCCAGUAAAACAGAAUGUAACAGGAUGUUUGCACACUAAGUAACUAUGUUUACUGUCAUUUAAAGAUCGACAAAUUCAAAAGUUCAUUAAAUUGCCCAGGGGCAUCCAACUAGGAAAUGGAAGAGCCAGGAUCCAAGCCCAGGUCUAACUGAGGGAGAAAGGGAUGUUUCCAUUGAUGUUUACUGUCCUGUGCCCUUCAGUCCCCUUUCUGCCCAUCUCAGAGAAUUUCAAUCUUGGAAUUCCCUCUCCAGUGUAUCCAGCAUUCUCUCAAUCACCCUUUCCCAGACAAUGUGUCUAACUAACAAACAAACGAACCAAUAAAGAAAAAGAAAUGGUCUGUUAAGUAAGAAGCAAAUCAAAAAAAGUAAACCUCCAUACUAUUUGAAUAUUUCCCAUUUUAAAUUUAUUUUCUAGAAGCUCUUUGGUAAGAAAUAAAAAGCACUAAAAAUUUCGAGCUUUGGGCAAUAAUGCUUAAAUCAAUUUCUUUUCAUGUUCACCGUAAAAAGAUAUUGCACUGAUGCUUAAGUCUAUUCCUGUCUUAGUAUUACAGUAUUAGUGUUUUCUGAAACGUAAAGUUCAGAACUUCAAGAUUAUUUUUAAUUUUAGUUUUAAAGUUACAAAAAUUUUAGAGACAGUUUGGGGGAAAUCAAUGAAUAUUUUUGGCAAAAGUAAAAGCAAUAAUAAAUACAAGGACCAGGAUACAGGCAGGCGUAUAUGGUUAGAAAGAGUUUCACUGAGCCAAAAAGCUCUGGAAAGGAGUAAGGGCACCAACUUGCCUUUAAAUAAUGCUGAUCCAAAAUUUCUGCUGUAAUUAGUCAGACUUGUGGAUGAUAGGCUAAUACUUUGAAAAACAUAGAAUUUCUGUCAGGCCAAAGUUGAAGCAUGCUAUAUGGAUUUAGAAAAAAUGCUGUUUUUAUUUUUUUAAACUUUCUGGAUAAUAGCUUUCUUUAGGGUAACAUAGUAAUUUCUUUAAGCACAAAGUUGUUUUAUGACAAUAUCUUGUUAUUGUUGAUGUUGGUUUUAUUACCACCACUGCUGCCAUUGUUAUCAUUAUGUUUGCCAUCCUGUACUAUUUAUUUCAGUUAGUCUUUUAUUGAGUUCACAUGGAACUUGUUCAGAGUAAUGCAUUAUGGUUAAGUAACUCUAUGUAUGUUACAGUUUGGGUUGUUGCAAUAAUCGUAUUUAUAUUCUCAAUGAUUAUCAGAUUUAUACAGUACACUACUAGAGAAAAUAAGAAAACAAAAGGCUGUUUUCUGAAAGUGAUGAAUG